CAGUAGCCGCGGUAAUACGAAGGGGGCUAGCGUUACUCGGAAUUACUGGGCGUAAAGGGCGCGUAGGCGGCGCUCCAAGUUAGGCGUGAAAGUCCUGGGCUCAACCUGGGAACUGCGCUUAAGACUGGAGUGCUUGAGGAUGGAAGAGGGUUGUGGAAUUCCCAGUGUAGAGGUGAAAUUCGUAGAUAUUGGGAAGAACACCGGUGGCGAAGGCGGCAACCUGGUCCAUUACUGACGCUGAGGCGCGACAGCGUGGGGAGCAAACAGGAUUAGAUACCCCGGUAGUCCCUGUCUCUUAUAC
rnacentral:rRNA from 1 species